GAUGAAGAACGCAGCGAAAUGCGAUACGUAUUGUGAAUUGCAGAAUUCAGUGAAUCAUCGAGUCUUUGAACGCACAUUGCGCCCCCUGGUAUUCCGGGGGGCAUGCCUGUCCGAGCGUCAUUGCUGCCCUCAAGCACGGCUUGUGUGUUGGGCCUCCGUCCUCCUCCCGGGGGACGGGCCCGAAAGGCAGCGGCGGCACCGCGUCCGGUCCUCGAGCGUAUGGGGCUUCGUCACCCGCUCUUGUAGGCCCGGCCGGCGCUUGCCGACACAUCAAUCUUUUUUCCAGGUUGACCUCGGAUCAGGUAGGGAUACCCGCUGAACUUAAGCAUAUCAAUAAGCGGAGGA
rnacentral:misc_RNA from 1 species